CAGAAAGUAGUUUAUUCUAAAAUACUAACUUUGGAAGUUAAUGAUCGGCUCUGCCGCUUUCUGA
rnacentral:tRNA from 1 species